AUUGAACGCUGGCGGCAUGCCUUACACAUGCAAGUCGAACGGUAACGCGGGGCAACCUGGCGACGAGUGGCGAACGGGUGAGUAACACAUCGGAACGUGCCCAGUAGUGGGGGAUAGCCCGGCGAAAGCCGGAUUAAUACCGCAUACGACCUAAGGGUGAAAGCAGGGGAUCGCAAGACCUUGCGCUAUUGGAGCGGCCGAUGUCAGAUUAGGUAGUUGGUGGGGGUAAAAAGCCUACCAAGCCGACGAUCUGUAGCUGGUCUGAGAGGACGACCAGCCACACUGGGACUGAGACACGGCCCAGACUCCUACGGGAGGCAGCAGUGGGGAAUUUUGGACAAUGGGCGCAAGCCUGAUCCAGCCAUGCCGCGUGCGGGGAAGAAGGCCUUCGGGUUGUAAACCGCUUUGUCAGGGAAGAAACGGUACUGGGUUAAUACCCUGGGCUAAUGACGGUACCUGAAGAAUAAGCACCGGCGUAACUACGUGCCAGCAGCCGCGG
rnacentral:rRNA from 1 species